UAUUCUAAGGCGCUUGAGAGAACUCUGGAGAAGGAACUCGGCAAAUUGACACCGUAACUUCGGAAGAAGGUGUGCCUUUAGUAGGUGAACCAUUUACUUGGGGAGCCCAAUGAGGUCGCAGAGAAUCGGUGGCUGCAACUGUUUAAUAAAAACACAGCACUCUGCAAAGACGAAAGUCGACGUAUAGGGUGUGACGCCUGCCCGGUGCUGGAAGAUUAAUUGAUGGGGUGCAAGCUCUUGAUCGAAGUCCCAGUAAACGGCGGCCGUAACAAUAACGGUCCUAAGGUAGCGAAAUUCCUUGUCGGGUAAGUUCCGACCUGCACGAAUGGCGUAAUGAUGGCCACACUGUCUCCUCCAGAGACUCAGCGAAGUUGAAAUGUUUGUGAUGAUGCAAUCUCCCCGCGGAAAGACGGAAAGACCCCAUGAACCUUUACUGUAGCUUUACAUUGGACUUUGAACAGAUCUGUGUAGGAUAGGUGGGAGGCUUUGAAGCCAGGACGCUAGUUCUGGUGGAGCCAACGUUGAAAUACCACCCUGGUGUGUUUGAGGUUCUAACCUUGGCCCGUUAUCCGGGUUGGGGACAGUGUAUGGUGGGCAGUUUGACUGGGGCGGUCUCCUCCCAAAGUGUAACGGAGGAGUUCGAAGGUACGCUAGAUACGGUCGGAAAUCGUGUUGAUAGUGCAUUGGCAUAAGCGUGCUUGACUGCGAGACUGACAAGUCGAGCAGGUACGAAAGUAGGACAAAGUGAUCCGGUGGUUCUGUGUGGAAGGGCCAUCGCUCAACGGAUAAAAGGUACUCUGGGGAUAACAGGCUGAUACCGCCCAAGAGUUCAUAUCGACGGCGGUGUUUGGCACCUCGAUGUCGGCUCAUCUCAUCCUGGGGCUGUAGCCGGUCCCAAGGGUAUGGCUGUUCGCCAUUUAAAGAGGUACGUGAGCUGGGUUUAAAACGUCGUGAGACAGUUUGGUCCCUAUCUUCCGUGGGCGCUGCAAGAUUGAGAGAGCCUGCUCCUAGUACGAGAGGACCGGAGUGGACACACCUCUGGUGUAUCGGUUGUCACGCCAGUGGCAUUGCCGAGUAGCUAAGUGUGGAAGAGAUAACCGCUGAAAGCAUCUAAGCGGGAAACUCGUCUCAAGAUGAGUCUUGCCGGGGCCUUGAGCCCCCUGAAGAGUCGUUCAAGACCAGGACGUUGAUAGGUUGGGUGUGGAAGCGCAGUAAUGCGUUAAGCUAACCAAUACUAAUUGCUCGUGAGGCUUGAUC
rnacentral:rRNA from 1 species